AGACGUGCGGGGAAACUAGUACAGGAUACCCAAAUAAUUUACCCUCGAUAUAACAUCAACAUCAUAAUUCAUUGAUUUAUGACUGAUAUAUACAGAAAAUUUAUCAAUUUGUAGUCUGUAUGGGUCAAGUAUAUCCAGCCUAAUUUAAAAAAAGAAUGAAGGAAAUAUUGAAAAAAACCUGCCGGGUGCUCACGUUUGUAUUGUUUACAAAUAAUCCUCUUCCGUCAUCUUUGAAUAUCCUUGCAAUUAUUUAAUUCUCUUAAAAAAUCAAUGAGAGUGAUUUCAAAUCCUAAGUUUAUUCGUCGGAUUUUAAAAGGAACCUCCGUUCGUGAUUAUCAUCUCUCAGUUGUGGUUCGUUUCAAACGAUCUAAUCAAGGGAAUCGAAUGAGGAAGAAGAAUGAAUAUCAUACUUUAUAUGAUGAGUAUGACGGAGAUGACGAAAUGACAGAGGAUGAUAAGCCCUCUGAGCCUAAUGAUCGAAAAAACAGUAUAAGCAAUGUCAAAAUGUCUCGAUUUGGAUAUACUUGGCCCAGCCCCAUGGUACCAAUUAGUGAGGAAGAUUCUCCAAGGACGUCUAAUGAGUAAUGGCCAAUAAAACAUUUUGAGAAGAAGUUGUAACACAUACUACAAAUACGCAUUCCUUCAUUGGAUUUAUAUAUCCAUACUGAUUACUGAAUCAUCUGAUGAAGGGCAUGUGAACAGAACGCAAAAUUGAACGGCGUAAAAAUACACAUUAUUGACUCAGGAAAUAACUAAUUCUACAAUAUCAAUUAUACCAGUGUUAAAUACUUUUUAAAUUUGUUACUGUGUCAAAUAUACGUACACUUGAGCCAA
rnacentral:misc_RNA from 1 species